rnacentral:tRNA from 2 species
GGCCAGGUAGCUCAGUCGGUAGAGCAGAGGACUGAAAAUCCUUGUGUCGGCGGUUCAAUUCCGUCCCUGGCCA